CCGCGGUCGCCGGUCUUGCGGCGGUGCCACUCUCGUGCGUGUGUUCGUGUGGCUGUGGUAAGCCGGUAUUGCACCUGUUAUUCGGCGACAGCAGUAACGCGCAACUCUGCAGAGUCAAGGUGUAGUGGCGGCAGGUGGGGGGUGGUGCAAUGGAGCUGGCCUUUUGUGCGGCUGCCAUCUUCGUGGUGUCGGCGGUGGUGGUGUACUUUGUCUCUGUGGUGGGCACCCGCCAGAAGACCUACGAGGAGGCCCUGGCCGAAGCACGCCGGCGAUCCCUGGAAGAGGAUGCCGCCCUCCAGCAGGCCCGGCAGCACCACAAGCGAGAUGGUGCCAACAAGAAGGUCAAGGGUCGCUGGGGCCGCACGAAGGUAAAGGAGAGCCCGGCAGAACCCGAACUCAUUACCUCUACAGCGACCAACGAGACUGUCUUGGCCUGUCCACCUUCGCCAACGCAGGGGAUGAUCCAACAUGUGUCCGAACACGUCGAGUUCAAGGAGGAGGCUGAGGUGGUGCUGAUUCCCAAGGAGGAUGAUGAGCUGACUUGCGAUGCUGUCCCACGCUCAUCACCCAUCAUUCCCCCGGUGCGCAACAGGCGCCCCCAGAAGCCGAUCCUGGUGCACAAGCCACCACCGGAACCGGAGGAGCUGGCCGCCCAACCUGUCGCACCGGUGGUGCCCGAGCCAUCGCCCAAGCCUGUGCGUCGCAACUCCUUCAAGGACAUCGUUCCCAAGGCCUCACAGGAUGAAAUUGAGCUGAAACACCUGCAGGAGCAGCUUCAGCAGCAGCAGCAGCAACAACAACAACAACAACAAAAGGAGGUGGCUGAAACGUCAUCCUGGUCCGCAGCAGCACCACCCUCACCACCCAACCCUACAGCUGCGGCUGCCAAGGGCUCCCCGCUCCGCGAGAAGCCUCCGCGCAGCCGCAAGUCUAAGGGCCAGGAUGCAGUUUCUGCAGCGACCACUGAUGGCACGGCUGCAGCAGUGGCUGCUGGUGCACGGGAGGUGUGUGCCCGGGAGCUGCUGUCCCUGGUGCGUGGCAGCAGCCGCUUCACGGCUGAGCAGGAGGAGCUCGAGCAGCUCGUCGAGGAGCUGCUCAACCGGGCGGGACAGUCGGCAGCAGCGGGCGAGUGGCGCAAGCGAGGCCCCGACCCCGAGGCACACCUGCGCCGUCUGCUGGCCGAGCGGGAGCGAGACCUCGAUGCCGAGCGCCAGCAUGCGCUCUCGCAUGCGACCAAGGUGAAGGAGCUGAGACAGGAGCUGAACCAGCAGCUGACUAAGGUGCAGCAGCAGGAGAGGAGCCUGAAGGCCCAGCAGAAGGCAACGGAAGAACAGACUGUGCAGUUGCAGAGGCUGCGUGACGAGUCUAGGCAGCUGCAGCAGAGAGUGCACCAGCUGGAGGCAGAGCUGCAGCAGUCGUCGGCAUCGGUGUGCGAGCGGGUACGGUCGAGAGAGGAAGAGCUGGAGCAGGCACACCGUGAGGCCCUGGAGCGGGAGCGUCAGGAGGCGGAGACGCGGCUGGCGCAGGCACAGCAGCAGGCGGAGGCUCUGGAGGCCACCUGUGCCCAGCUCCGGCAACGGCUCGACCAAGAGGCACAGAACCUGGCCGCCCAGAGGAAUGCCUCUGAGGGCAAGGUGAAGGAGCUGAGCAAGGUUCACCAGCUGGAGCUGGAGGCGGAGCGAGCGGAGCACCAGCGGCGCUUGGGCGCCCUGGAGCAGCGGUGCCAGGAGCAGGCCCACCUGGCCGAGGAGCUGCGGGCACGCCUUGCCGAGGCCGUGCAGACACACAGCCGAGAGGUGAGCGAGCUGUCUCGCAAGAAGGCAGAGGCUGAGGCCGCGGCUGAGGGUGCCGAGCAGCGGCUGGCCCAGGCGCACGAGGCCGCUGUUGAGGAGCUCCGGCGAGAGCUGGACGACCAGCGGGCCAAGAACAACGACCUACGCACCAAGAACUGGGAGGCUGUGGAGGCCAUGCGGGCAGCUGAACGUAAGGCCGAGGCACAAGCGGCCAGUUUGACCAAGGAGCUCGAGGUGCUCAAGGCCAGCCACACCAAGGACGUCGAGAGCCUGCGGCAACGGUUAUUAGACGAGCACCAGAAAAAGGAACGGGAGCUGCUGGAGCGCCUCCUGCCUGCCAUCAAGGUUGACGCUAGACUAAGCCAUGCCGAGUGGUUGGUGCACUUUGAGAGGGAAGUGCACCAGUGGCAGAAGCAGCAGCAACAUAAACAGCAGCAGCAACAACGGGGCACGGGCGACCACCCGCCACUGUCUGCCUCUACACAGUCUCAAACCACUGGAGCCGUGGAAGACACGGAGCGCCUACAACAGCUUGCGCAGGCCAAUGCCAAGCUUGACAAGGAGGUGUCCCACUACAAGCAGGUGCUGUCCCAGACCGAGGACAUCCUGCAGAACCUUCAGCGAUCGGUCGAGGAGGAGGAGAAGCGGUGGCAUGAGAAGGAGGAAGGGCACCACAAGGAGCGACUGCUCUGGCAACAGCAGCUCACUCAGGCCCAGGCUGAGGCAUCACAGCAGAAGAGCACUGGUCCGACGGAGAGGGAGCGACAGCUGGAGGAACGCUGCGCAGCCCUUGAAGCAGACCUGCGGCAACUGCAUGGACUCCAGGAGACGACGUCCGAGGUAUGUGGCGUGCAGUUUGCCUUCUCCUGCAUAGAGCGGACAUUGCCCAGCAUAGUGAACGAGAUGCAGGCCAAACUGAAGGAACUGCAAGCCAAGCUUCAGGAUGAGGAAGGUGAAAAGAAGCUGCUGGAGCAGAAGUACGACGAGGCCAAUCUCUACGGAGAGUUUCUUGAAAAGGUGAGCCGGAAUGCCCAGGAUGUGAGGACCCACCUUGAGAGCAGGGUGCGUGAGCUCGAGGAGAUAAAGCUGACGCGGGAUGAUUACGACCUCUUGAAGCAGGAGCUGGCCGAAGUGAAGGCCCAGCUUGCGGAGGCCCGCCGCGCCGCGGCCAAGGCAUCCGAGGAAGCGGCGGCCAAUCACAGCCCGUUGGCACAAUCACCUGUGACCACACCCACCAAGGUGACGCCCGACGCGGUAUCCCCAGCUACCAACGGCCCCUCGGCUGCACCUUCUCCUACACCCGCCGAAAAAGAGAAGGACGACAAGCUGGAGUGCUCCGAGCUGGGUAGCGACACCAUUGCGCGCCCAUCGGGUGACGCACCCUGCUCUAAAAAUACUAACAGCAACCGAACUAAGAAGCGGGUGCGGUUACGGCUGAAAUUUUGGAAGAAGAGCAAAAAAUGAAGCACCGAUGGAUGCCAGCUGUCUGUGCGCCCCCUGUCGGCUGAUAUGAGAAAGGGCUCGUCGAACAAGAAGUAGAGGCGCCCUCCGGCCAGAGCCAAGUACCGCCCCAGCAGGGCACCCCAGUAUCCACCGUGGAUGGCAGCUGCUGCUGACUUACUCCG
rnacentral:misc_RNA from 1 species